rnacentral:lncRNA from 1 species
AGCAUUUUUUGAAGCGCGGUAGAAAGUAGACAUUUAAUAGCACUCACUGAAGCAAACGUGAUUCAUAGUCUACUUUCUAAAUAAGACCAUAUCUCUCAGACAUUCUAUCAAACACAUACAAUCUUGUCCAACUCCACCAUAUUUACAAUAGAUUUGUUAUAUUACCAACGACUCCAACUACAUUCAACCUUAACAUAUUCCAAUACUAUAGAAUAACAUAUUAGUAAUGAGAUCUUAUGCAAAUUGUUCUUUCUUUCUCUUCCAAUGUACAAGUCCUUACACAGUGUUCAUGUGUUCCUCAAUGAUGAAUGCAAUCUGCAAAUACAAAUAAAAAAUAUCAUCUCUAAACAAAUUGCAAAAGUUAUGAAAAAAAUACAAAAUUAGCAGCAAUUGAUAAAGAAUAUUUACCAUUACACUCAAACCUUAUAUCUAAACCAGUGAACCAUAACCAAAAUCCCAAAACUUCGCACCAGUGUGGGCUGAUAAGGGAUUUAUGCCACAAUUUUGAUGUUUUUUACAACCACAAAAAUUGCCCCAGUGUGCAUACUCUGAACUUUCAACUUGGGAUACUUCACAAAAUAGCCCAGUGUGUCAUUGAGGAUGGGUAAUACUAAGUCUUGACUUUGAGGGUGUUCAUCAAGUUUUCCCUACUUUUUGCACAUAACACCUAGUGUAAGUAACCGUCGGGAAUUCUCUCAAUUUAUUAUGAUCUUGAGUCACCCUUUUAGGUUUUCGACCCAACAUCACUCUCCUUUUCCUAGAUUUCCCAUAUGGGUUUUCAACAUACCUCUCGUUUUUUUUUCCAUAGUUGCUUUUCAACACCUCGGUGUGGUGGUCUGACUUGAUAGGAAACGAAAGACUUCAAUUAUGUGUAUGAAUCAUUUUUUGAAGUUGUUCUUGAAGAGGCUUGUUGAAUGUGAUAACUUUAGAUUUUCCCUCCUUGGUUGAGGGAUCUUCAUUCCUUGUAGUUGAAUCAACAUAUAGAACUAUAAGAAGCAACUUCGUCAUUGACCUAGUUUUUGGGGCUUUUGGUAACUUUCCACUAGAAAAGGGGAUCUACCCAAAAACAUUGCCCCAGUAUGAGAUAUUAGGACUCAUCCUUCUGUUGAAAUCAUUUUGAUGUACCAUGAAUCAUCUUGCCCCAGUUUGAGAGGCUUUCACUCUUCAUUUUCUUUAGCGCUCCUUAUCUCAUGCAUUCUCUUCAAAAAGAAAUACUAAAAACAAUGAUCAUACAAAGUUGGUUAGUGUUUGUGCUAUGGAAGGGGAUGGUGAUGAGAAGAUUGAAUUUGAUGUGGGCUCUGAGUGUUAAGGGUUCGUUGAUAAUGGUGAUGGUAAUGAGAAGAUUGAAUUUGAUGUGGGCUUUGAGUGUUAAGGGUUUGUUGAUAAUGGUGAUGGUAAUGAGAAGAUUGAAUUUGAUGUGGGCUUUGAGUGCUAAGGUGUUGUUGAUAAUGAUAAUGGUGAUGAUGAGAGAUAGUAGAUCUUAGUCAUAUGAAUUCAAGAUGAGAUAUUUUAAUCAAAAUUUUGUGAGAUUUAAUGGAGUCAGUGUUUCUCUGCCCUAAUGUGUACCUUGGACAAAUCAAAUCCUCGACAAAGACUUUCUUAAGGUUGUAUAGUGGUCUGGCUAUGGGUUUUCGAAAUAAAAGGAUAUAAGGCUCAAAUAUGUGUUUCUCAUGCCCACUUCUCCUUACUUUUUUCUCCUUGUCCUAUUUUCAACCGUUUUCCGAUAUGACAUUCAAUUACUAGGAUUUUAUUUGGAUUUUUGUGAUGGAAUGGGUGAAGGCCUAGGUUAAAGGCGGUAGUCUUUCCCGAUAAGAUAUGAAUAGUUCCUUUAACAAUCAUUGACAAUACAUUUACUUUCCCCUAACUUUUUCCUGAGAUUUUCAUUGAAGAUUCUCAACAGGCUUUUUUGUAUAUAUUUUUUCGCACUUUGAUCGAAGAAUAAUUUUAAUUUGACUCUUUUUUGGAUUCUUUAUCUUUCGGGUCAAAUAGUGUAAGUUGUGUAUGAUAAAAUGUAUUGAUUCCUUCAUGAUUGAAUGCUAAGGAAAACUAUUGAAGUCUACCCUCCCUAAGUUAUUGAUAUUUUGUGGGUAAUUUCAAAAGGAAAAAAAACCGCUUAUCAUAAUGCCUAGGCUCAAAUGGGGUGACUAGGAAUAUCUUCAUAGUAUUUGGAGAUUAACAAUGAGGCCUUGUGUCAUCGGUAUAAAACUUGUCCGAAGAUCCAUAUCUUUUUGGGUCUUAUAUUUGCAUCAUCCUCCAUAUCACUUUAAUUUUGAAUCAAAUAUCUCACAUUAAUGCAUGAACUAAAAAGAAUUGGGUAUUUUUAGUGAAUGUUUUGUUGAAUGGAGUGAGAUUAUAAAAUUGCAUGAUCAAUGCGCUAGUAUGUUCUCGUUAAAAAAUAUUCAGUAAAAUGAAACUUUAUUUGUGGAAAGAAACAUGGGUGAGUGAAAGAGUAAUUGAGACUAAAUUGGACACUUGGGGUCUUCAAAAUGAGAAGUUUUUUUUCAACGAUCAAUCACCUGCCAUGCUAGAGUAAGAAAUGAUGUAUUAUAUUUGGAUUUUCUCUUACUACUUGAACAUAUUCAAUCUCAACCCUGAUUAAAUUCAGUCAAGUCCAAAAAUUAUCUUUCCAAAUCUGACAUUCCAUUGAUGAGUGCCUUUGAACCAUGAAAUGUAUGCAAAACCUAUUAUUUUUUUAUUUAUGCAUGAGGUGCAUGAUUGAUAUGACUGUAAUUUUUAUGCAUGCAAGAUGCAUGAAAAAAUAUAUCUUCUUUUUCCUUUUUUGAAUGCAGAUGACGAUGCAUGAAUUAAAUUUUUUUGUUUUAUAGAUGAUUUAUGAGGAUGUAUGAAAUGGAUGCAUGAUAAUGUGUGAAAUACAACACAUAGAGUGUUAAUGUAUGAAAUGUAAUGUUUGAAUAUUUAUUUGUAUGUUUUUUUUAUAAUUGCAUGAAUAAGUGGAUGAAUGUAUGAUAUAUUUUUUUUGACUUUUGAAUGAUUGAAUCUAUGAAUUAGUGAAUUAAUGGAUGAAUGUUUGAAUGAUUUUUUUAUGAAUGUUUGAUUGAUUUGUUUCUUGGAUAUAUGUUUGAAUGAUUGAUUUUUGAAUGAAUGUAUGUAUGAAUGAAUGAAGUAUAUGAUUAAUGCAAGAUGCAUGCCCGUUAUGGUAAUGUAGAAUGCGAGAUUAAUGAAAAAUGCAGACCCUUAGGGUUAGUGACCCAAUUGUGGGCAACAUCGCCUUCAUUACAAAAUAUAAAAUGGCAUGAUGGAUUAAUGAAAGUCAUAUCGUUCAGGCCAACCAAGGGCAAAGCCAACUUGCCCCUAGUUUUAUAAGACUACCCUUAGGACGAUGAGUCCUAUUGGGUAUGUUUGAGAAUACGUUGUCCUCAUGAUACAAAGACAUUGAGAUGCAAUGUUAUCACUCAGGCAUAGGUGAUGAUGUUGGAAUGUUCCAACUUAUAAAAAUAAUGGUAUAUGAAAAGAGACAAGUAUGCUUCUAGUGUCUUACACAAGGUACCUUACAAGGGUUAUGUCUAAAAGCCACAUUCCUACGGUGAGGUACUAAGGUAUGUCUAGAGUGGACUCCUUCGAGGGUUCUAGACUCUGAAAAAAGGCCACCAAACUUUAUCCCAUCCAUGAAGGAAAGGAAACUCAAAUAUUGUAGGUUAGAAAUGGGAGAGGUCUAGCCCCAUCGAGCGCCUAACUCAUGAUAUCGGUAACAGUUUGAUCGGUCCAUCACGCCAAUACAAGAUUUGACUCAAGGUCAGCACCGGCAGGGCAGAUGUCCCAUUUUAGAAAUUCCUAGAUAUCUCUAAUACCCGAGUAUAGGGUGUUGUUACCGUAGCUUGCAGCAAUUCUAAAUGGCAUGAAAUAAUAUUUACUGACUGAGUCACGACCAGGUCGCUCUCUUUAAGACGUUUCGUGACACUGCCCAAAAUGUGCAAGCAGACUAUCAACCACGCCGUCCCCAGGAUAAAACAGCCCAGAUCUCUGUUAUCAAAUUCUUACUACACUGUAAGAACCGAUCUCGAAUACACCCACCACAAUAUGACUACCAGUGCCAAUUCUUGAAGUUAUCGACAAUAUGGCUACCCGUGCCAAUUCUCUUCCCAUAAUACUGACUACUAGCCUCAGUUCUCAAAAUCCCACAAUAUGGCUACCAGUGCCCAUUCUUUACCUACAAUACUGUCUACCAGUGUCAGUUCUCGAAAUCCCACUUUGGCUGCUUGUGCCAAUUCUUAAGUGCCACGGAAAUAAAGGGGGAGAAGUUUACCGGAAAUGCGUCGGCGGAAUAUUAGGGGGGAGAAAGAGAAGUUGAGAGGAAACGCCUUCAACUUGGUGCAAGUUAAAAUGAAGGGAGAAAGUCUCUAUUUAUAACAUGAGAUUUUUCUCAUGUUCCUCAUUUCUCCCAUGUGGGACUUGGGAGCUUAAUUUUUAUUUUUUCAAAACUCUUCCAUGUGGGACUUUGAGAGUUGUUUUUUCAAACUCUUCUAUGUGGGGACUUGGGUGUUUUUUAUAUUUCAUACCCAAAAGUUAUCACUCAUGGUUUUCAACAAACCAUGUUCCAACAUAGGGCAUAUGUGUGUGCAAAGACAUUGUGUACUUAAUGUUGUGUGUGAGAAGUAUACAACUCUCUUAAGGAUAAAAUAUCAACCAAACAAAAAUAAAUCAAAAAUAUAUAUAUACAAAUAUGUACAAAAAGAAAAAGACAAGUUUCAAGGGUAUACAUGGAUCCAUGUAAUUAGAUGCUCUGGGCCUGACUCUCUUAGGAAAUUCCCAGUGGAGUCGCCAGCUGUCGCGCCCCGAUUUUUGGUCGAACACCAGUCACACGAGUAGUUUGGAGUCGCCACCAUAUUUUUGCGGUCAAAACAUAGAAAACCCUUUUGAUGCCCAAAUAUUGGAAAGACUUAGCCUUUGAACUAGAUCUCUGGACUCGGGAGUCGGUUGGGGAAGAUAUUAGCACCCCGUCCGUCCGUUAUCAAACGGUACCCGCAAUAAUCGCAUAGAACUAGAUAUACCAUAAAGCUUGUUAAAUCAAUUUAUUAUUUAAAAAUGUUUUUUGUUUUUGAUUUAUUUUUGUGUCUGACAAGAAUUCGUCAUACCCCUACGUAUCUGUGGGUGCAAUAGGAAAAUCAAGACUACGUAGUUAUUGGGUAGAAAAUACUUGUGUGUUGAUUGAUUUUUAGUUAAUGAAAAGUGAUUUAAAAAUUUGUGAGACGGUUGUAAGUAGAAAGGGUUAAAGAUGACGAUAAAGUUUACCCCAUAACAUUUUACCCUCAUUUAAAAAAAAGAAGAGGCAGUACGACAGCCGCUCACCGCUUUUAACUAAAUAUGAUACUCAUAUAAGGGUUUGACUUAUAUCGUCUUAUUCAUAUUAGCUAGAAAGAAGAGGUAGCACGACAGCCACUCACCGCUUUCUUACUAACAUGAUAAUAAAAGAGGACUCAAAUUGUAAGGUUAAGGAAAGAGGUACAACUUUGCCCUACAUCACUUUACACAUUUUAAAUAAAAGAAGAUGCAGUCCGAGAACCGCUCCCCGCUUUUUAUUAAAUAGUGUAAUGAGAUAAGGGUUUGAUAUAUAUUGUCUUAUCCUUAUUAGAGAGAAAGAAGAUGCAGUACAACAAUCGUUUACCGCUUUCCUACUAAUAAAAUAAUACUCAAGUUGAUACUAUUUCUCUAGCCUUAGCACUUGAAAAAUGUUUUUCUCUUGUUUAAUUAAUUUUAUGAAAAAUUUAUUAUUUUAAAAGUUUACAUCAUAAAAUACUAAUUAUUGUGACUCUCGAUUAUUUCAAAGAUUUAUAUCAUAAAAUAUUAAUGAUUGUGACUCUCGAUUAUUUCAAAGAUUCAUAUCAUAAAAUACUAAUGAUUGUGACUCUCGAUUCACAUAUUAAAUAUAAUUUCCAAAAAAAUAGUAUCUUAUUUAUUGGUGGUUCAAAUAAAUAUAACAUAUAUUAAUUAUUGUCGUCUUUUUUAUAUUGACAAGAAACGACAUUAAUGAAGAAUUAAUUAUUUAUUUUGAAAUUGUCAAAUAGAAUAUUUUAUUAAAUUUGGGUGAUAAUUUUAGAAGAUAAGGACAACAUUGGCUAUCUACAGCCAUUCCCAUUAUUAUAGAAAGAAGAGGCGAAGAGGCAAUACGAAAACCGCUCACCACAUAUCUACUUGAAGGGAAAGGGAGAUAUGGUCUAAUUCGUUCACAGAUUUCCCAAAUUAUCACCUUAAAUUCUACUUUUACGCUCAGUAAAAAAUAGAAUUAUUGAUAGUUAUAUAAAAAAAAUAACUAAUUUUUAUUAUUGUAUAUUUGUAAUUGAUUAGGGAAAUAAAAAAAUAACAAAAAAAGUAAAUAAAAUGGUUCAAACAGCAAUAAGGAUACACAUUAUUCUAAAAAUGAAUAAGAACAUUAUUACCACAUAUCAUAUAUCAAACAUAAUAGGAUGUGCAAUAAUACUAAACUGAAUUAUUAAUAUUCUUAAUUCAGAAUAGGAAUAAGUCUAAACUUAGUACCAAGUAGGGUAAUUAAAAAAUAUAUAAAAUAAUAAAAACUAAAAUAAAGUAAUAAUAAAAAGAAUGAAAUAGAAAAAAUCACAAAAAAAAAGAGGGAAGCCACAAACAGUGGACUUCCCUGCUGCACCUAUCACACGUCCAACAAGAGGAAGCUGCCGGGAUCCAUGGAGGCCACGCAGCGGAAUGAACAGGGGAGUCCGGGUAGCACCAGCAACGACGCAGGGAGAGGAGGAGGAGAAAACCCAACCGAGUUCACCCUCUGGUCACGCCUCAAACCACCGGCAGUCCUCUGGGACCUCAAAAGUUCGUCUCCGAUGAGAAAGAACAAUAUAGUGAUGAAUGAAAAUGAAGAAGAUGAAAUAUGAAGGGAAGAGGUUGUUGUAUUUGUGUUUUGUUUAGGGGCUGAACUUUGUGUUUCUCCUUAGGGGUUGCCUCCUCAUUUGGUUGUGUUAGCUAAUGCCCCCUUUGUGUGUUAUCUUCUGCUCUUUUUUAUGGACUGUUGAUUCAGCUUUUUGUUGUUGCUAAAGUCAUUGGAGUGUUGAAGUAUGAAUUUAAGGAUAAGGUGCUCCUUUGGAGGCUGAGUGUGUUUCAAAAAAAUGGGUGUAGUAUAAAAGCUGUUGAGUUGGGUUUAAGGAUAAGAUGCUUCUCCUUAGGUGUGUUAAGUGGGGCUUUAUAUAACACCCUUAGUUUAGGGUUAAGGUUAAAAAAUGAGUGUAGUCUUGUGAGUGUUUUUAAUUGCGACCCAGUCCUUAAACUUCCUAAUUUUUUUAUUUUUAUUUUUUAUAAAAAAGACCCCAAACAUAUUCACAC